rnacentral:lncRNA from 10 species
GGAAUGUAAUUACGUUGCAUUAUAUGGCAAAGCCGAUUUGAUGUCACUCCUGGUUUCUACAGCAAUGUUAUCUUGAAUGGUUUGUCAACAUGUUUCACUGAGAAAACUUAAAGCAACUCUGGUAAUCAACUUCAGAAGUGACCAUCACAACCAAACAUUCCCUGCUCUGAAUCACCUGACAUUCACUGUCUCAUUCACACCAGCUUCUUCAGGUGGCCC